UGAUCCCCCAGCCGUGGAAACAGACACCCGAGACUGGCUGGGGCCACUCGUGCUGGACGUGUGCCCACGGACUCCCCGGGACAGCUCUGCCGGCGAGGGGCGUGAUGGCAACACCAGUCGUGGGUGCUUCCUCUUUGUCCGGGGCCCGGGGCCCUGGGCCCUGCAGGGCCACCCAGCGACCUGUCUCUCUCAGCCACACUUCCUCGAGGCCGGGUCUCUGCCCCCCGCACCUGCAGCAGCCGGCUGCUGCUUUAGAAGAGAUCUGGGAGGAAGUCCCAAGUCACCCUUUGCAGAAAUAGCUCCGAGCUUCGCUCUGGUGUCUGUGGCUCCAGCUGUCCGCAGGGGCGCCCCCGCGAGCCCAGGUCAGCCUGCCACGCGACGGCAGGGAGGACGCCGGGCCCCGGGUGCCAGCCUGGAAGCCUGGGCUCCAAAGUCAGAGCCUUCAGCAAGGACGACAACUGUAUUUGUGCACAGCGGCGGCUCAGGGCUGAGAGGGGUCCCUGAGGGCUGGCCCCGGUAAUGGCCGGGGUGCCUGCACGUCGCUUCGCCUCUCCGGCCUCGCCUCUGUUUCCUCCCCAGGAACUCAGGAAUGAUGACGCCUCCCUCGAAGGGUUCGUUCCUGUAAAGUGCUUGCACUUCUGAGUUCAGUAAGUGUGAGACACUCGCGGCAGAGGCCUAAGUCGCAGGAACGUGUCAGGAACCACUUCCCAGGCCUCCUCCGUCUGAAGCUGCGCCUCGCGUGCGGAUGCUCGCCCUGCGCCCGUGCACACCGCAGGCCCCCCCAAGCCCCCGGGUACCACACCCAGCUCUCUAUCCCGGCAUUCAAGAGUUGAUGACGUGACAUCUGGGACCCUGGAGCCUGCAGACAGGAUCUAGAGAGUUCUAAAGACCACAGGUGCCGUUGUUACAGACAAGAGAAACAGAGGCCCAGAGGGCAGUGCCUGAAAGUUACCUGGCCAAGCAGGGGCCAGACUGAUGCCCCAGCCUCCUGACUCCGUCUGGGGCUCUCUCCUUCCCCACUUCCCUCUUGAGGAAGGGAACAAUUAGCCCUGUCAAUGAGGCCCACCCUGGCCACCCGGGGAACUGGCGACCCCCAUGUCCCCGCCUCCCUGUUCUGUUUCUCCUCCGCGUCCCCACUGAGGGUGGGCCUUGUGUCAGCUUCCCCGCUGGCCUAGAUGGUGCCUGGCCUGUGGCAUGUGCCUCUGGAAGGUCACGGGCCUGGGCUGUCAUGUGGGCUCUUGGGAGCACAGCUGUCCGCUCUUUUCUUUCACGGAAAACGCAGAAAGAAAAAGCCUAGAAAAGGGAAUUUUUAAAUCUACUGUGAUGCCACGCCUGCCCCCCAGUUAUAGCCCUGUGGACCUCGGGGUGUCCCUGGUCCCCGACAGGUGCUUUCACAGCCGAAGUCAGUCUGUCUGCGCCCCUAUGCCGUGGCCCGGAGCAGCACCAGCUGGGGAGCGACUUCCCCUUAGUGGCCACGAGCGUUUCUUCCCUCCCAACAUGGCGGGGAGGGGGGGGGGCGGUCACCAGGCCUCAGCCUCUCGUCCCUCCCGUCCCCCAGUCCUGGUCCCCCUGCCCCUCGUCUGCACUCACUGAGACCCCGUUUCCUCAUUCGCGAGAGGCAGGGAGGAUGAGGCAUUUGAGUCCUGAGUGGUGGUUCCAGGGGGGUGACCGGUCCCCAGGCUGGGCGUUCGGGGGGCUAGACUGAGUCUGACUCUCACUCUCAAGAAUGGUGGAGAGGGGCGCCCGGGUGGUGCAGUCGGUUAAGCGUCCAACUUCGGCCAGGUCACGAUCUCGCCGUCCGUGAGU